rnacentral:rRNA from 1 species
CCUACGGGUGGCAGCAGUAGGGAAUAUUGCUCAAUGGGGGAAACCCUGAAGCAGCAACGCCGCGUGGAGGAUGAAGGUUUUAGGAUUGUAAACUCCUUUUGUCAGAGAAGAUAAUGAUGGUAUCUCACGAAUAACCACCGGCUAACUCCGUUCCAGCAGCCGCCGUAAUACGGAGGUAGCAAGCGUUACUCGGAAUCACUGGGCGUAAAGAGUGCGCAGGCGGGCUUGUAAGGCAGAUGGGAAAGCCUGGAGCUUAACUGCAGAACUGCAUUUGAAACUAGGAGUCUAGAGUGUGGGAGAGGUAGGUGGAAUGCUAGGGGUAGCGGUGAAAUGCGUAGAUAUCAGGAGGAAUACUGAUUGCGAAGGCGACCUACUGGACAAUUACUGACGCUCAUGCACGAAAGCGUGGGGAGCAAACAGGAUUAGAUACCCCAGUAGUC